CUCUUACUAGUUCAAUGGUAGAGCAGGAUACUUCUAAUAUCUGGAUCUGAGUUCAAGUCUUGAGUAAGAAU